rnacentral:tRNA from 3 species
GCGUUAUUCGUCUAGUUGCUAGAACAAGAGCUUCUUAAGCUAUGGGGCGUGGUUUCAAGUCCUAUACAACCACCA